GAUGAAGAACGUAGCGAAAUGCGAUAAGUAAUGUGAAUUGCAGAAUUCAGUGAAUCAUCGAAUCUUUGAACGCACCUUGCGCCCUUUGGCCAUUCCGAAGGGCAUGCCUGUUUGAGUAUCAUGAACACCUCAACUCUCAUGGCUCGCCAUGAUGAGCUUGGAUCUGGGGGUCUUGCUGGCCUGUGGUCGGCUCCUCUCAAAUGGAUCAGCUUGCCAGUGUUUGGUGGCAUCACAGGUGUGAUAACUAUCUGCGCUUGUGGUUUUCCAUCAGAUAACCUUCAGUGAUGGAGGUUCGCUGGAGCUCAUAAACGUCUCCCCUAAGCGGGGACAGCCCUUUGAAUGUUUGAUCUCAAAUCAGGUAGGACUACCCGCUGAACUUAAGCAUAUCAAUAAGCGGAGGA
rnacentral:misc_RNA from 1 species